rnacentral:rRNA from 1 species
GGGGGAUCCCAAGUGCCAUUCUUAACGGGAUGGCUUUUCAUUAGUGUAAAAAGCUUUUGGAAUAAGAGCUGGGCAAGACCGGUGCCAGCCGCCGCGGUAACACCGGCAGCUCUAGUGGUAGCAAUUUUUAUUGGGCCUAAAGCGUCCGUAGCCGGUUUAAUAAGUCUCUGGUGAAAUCCUGCAGCUUAACUGUGGGAAUUGCUGGAGAUACUAUUAGACUUGAGACCGGGAGAGGUUAGAGGUACUCCCAGGGUAGAGGUGAAAUUCUGUAAUCCUGGGAGGACCGCCUGUUGCGAAGGCGUCUAACUGGAACGGUUCUGACGGUGAGGGACGAAAGUUAGGGGCGCGAACCGGAUUAGAUACCCGGGUAGUCCUAACUGUAAACGAUGCGGACUUGGUGUUGGGGUGGCUUUGAGCUGCUCCAGUGCCGAAGGGAAGCUGUUAAGUCCGCCGCCUGGGAAGUACGGUCGCAAGACUGAAACUUAA